UAAACGACUCACGGCAACGGAUAUCUCGGCUCUCGCAUCGAUGAAGAACGUAGCGAAAUGCGAUACUUGGUGUGAAUUGCAGAAUCCCGUGAACCAUCGAGUCUUUGAACGCAAGUUGCGCCCGAAGCCGUCAGGCCGAGGGCACGUCUGCCUGGGCGUCACAC
rnacentral:rRNA from 1 species